ACAGAAGACCAAUAGUUCAGAAAAGCAGCGGCAUCACUUCUUAAAAAGCACUUUUCACAUCAAUGCUGUCAAAAGGCACAACCUUCCCAGCAUGUGUGUCUGACUUACUGACAUGGCCUUUCAACAGUACACUGCCCAGGAAAAAGCCAACCACGUGCAGAUGGGACAUCUUCUCAAUAGUGCUCUCAUUUAGGCAAAGAAGGCUUGAUGUGAACACCUGGUACAUCUUUUGGAGAUCUGAUUAUUUACUCUAACACUUAGUCUAAAUUACAAAAAAAACAACUUUUGGAGAACAUUUCAAAUGUAAACUUAUCUAUUACUGGUGUGUCUUGUAGAAAGAAGUCUGUCCUUCUGAAGAAAGACUUUGAGGGAUGAGAUUUUGGGAAAAGCAUGAAGACUGCUCAUGAGUUAUUUAACCUAAAAAAUAAAUCAAUAAUGUGCCUCUUUAGGUAGAGUUCGCCUAACAGGGCUUAACUGCAACUUGAUUAUAAAGUGGAAUCUUACAGGAAUGAAACUGACCUGGAACAAUUAUAACUUGAUUAAGUUCUUAAAAUUCUACUUUAAUCUAACUCAAGCCUACCCUUGAAGCAAGUGGCUACCAUCAUCUAAAGAAGCAAACUAUACGAUCAGAUCUCAACAGUCACCUCAUAGCUAAGCCACUAACUGGCGGAAAGUCAAGCUCUGCUCAACAUUCAUUGGCCAGGUAGGUUAGGCCUUGGCUUUAUGAGCUUCUCAUCUUCAAAGACAUGGCCAAACCUUUCAAGGAUUCCUGGAAGAAAGACUGACCAAAGUUCAAGAGAUGUGAAAAAAAUUAUUUAGGAUUUAAUGUUAAAAGUACUUGCUUUCAAGAGUAAAUAAUUUUUUUAUGUCAUCUUAAAUAUAUAUCACAUUCUGAAGCAAAUUAUUUUUCCAAAAAUAAUGAAUCAGAAGUUAACAGGAAAAUGGUUCAUUAAUUCCAAUACUAUUUUAAAGUAAGCCUUGCUAGUUCACUCUUACCCGUUAGCCAAAAGAUAGCUGUAUUUAAAAGAGCAUCGAACUGCUUUGCACAGCACGGAAACACAGCAGAAUGUAAAUAAAGAGCAUGACACCACUUUUUUCCACCUAAUCAUUAAAAAACUUAGUUUUAUACUCUUCAGGGGAAGAAGUUGCAAAAUCUGUCACAAAGGAACUUGCUUUGCCUCAUUCCACUUUAAAUAACUGACUGCUUCAGGUCAAUCUGAUCUUUGCGUAAGAAAGGUUUAAGGUUUGUACUCGCUGUUCUGACUGCAACACUCUCCUCACUGCUUUUUCUAGACAAUUUCAGAUCUCAACUCAGAAGCUCUUUCCUGCCGAAGCCUUCGCGAGCCCUCCAAGCCUGGGCUCCUGGGCCAUCCACCAUACUCCCACAGCACUCUGCGCCACUGCCCUCCCACCCUGACCCGCAACGCACUCACAGCACUCAACGUGCUACAGAUCCAGCCCGUUUCUCAGUUCCCCCAGGAAGCACACGGUAAGAACAAAGCAAGCAAGGGCGGGCUUUCUCUCAUUGGUAUUCCCAGUUCUGAACACAGUGCUUGGCAUAUAGUAACCACUCAAAAGCUGCAGUGUAAUUUUUCAAAGUGUAAGGGGAUUCUGAGCUAAAUAAUACAUAUAGUUAUUUGGCUACAACAUUCAAUUCUCCCUAUCAUUCUCUUACAGCUCUAGAACUGGCAGUUUCAUAAGCCCUUUAAGUAAGCGCUGGACAACCGUAAAUACAUGACUUCUCUGAGACUACUGUCCUGAUUCUGGCCUUGCCGUCCUGCCUAAUUGUUAAGAGAAUCUUAUGAGUAAGACGGCUCUCAUGUUCAGUUUAGCAACUGAGCAAUCACAGGGUUAGAGGAAAAGGCAGCAACAUCACUAAGCUCAAUGCUCCUAGGUCCAUUUGACUUCAAAGUCCGUUAAGUCUUUUUACUAGACCAUGCUAUUUAGGCUAAAGACAAUUAGUACAAUUCUCCUUUAACCCUUGGCCCGAAAGGAAAAAAGUGGACAGAUUAGGUAAAUAAUUACUCUCUUACUGAGCCUUGAAAAACAUGGUUUUUGGCCUCAGAAAAUUAGGCAUUUCGAGUAAUUCAUGAAAAUUUGCAUUUUCCUCCUUUCAAAGUGAUCAGAUAAAAUAUAUUAAUAUUGGUCCUUUUUUGGCUAUUUGAGUCAAUACACUAACAUUUAACAACAAGUAACAUUAAUCAAGCACUUACUAUGUGUCAGGCUCUAUGUACAGGAGUUACAUUAUUUCAUUUCAUCCUCCCAACAACUGUGAGGUGAGGAUUCUCAUUUCCAUUUUUCUGACGAGGGAAACAGACUCCAGAGAACUUAAGCGACUCUGCCCGAGAUCAGACAGCUCAUAACAUGUGGGACCAAAAACUGGAACUCAGGCCUCUUACUAAAACCCUAGGUGUUCAAUCAAAUCAUGGGUAUUGCUAUUGUGGAUAAUAUUUAACUAGGAAACUGGAAAACACAAAAAACUAGCGAUAGUGUAACACUGAAUAACAAAAACACAUAGACUUGAAAUUCAAUUUUCAUCUGAGACAUGCUUCUUUCCCUUACAUUCAAAUUGGUAACGUAUUGAUAAGUGGCACCAACGGACCCGAGAUCAUAUUACCCAGGGGGAGGAUGAGCAUCUUGAGGUUCCAGACUUUGGAAUGAAUAAACUUAUCAACUCUUCCAGUCCCAAACAGGUUUCUAAAAUAACGAACUGCAUGAGACGACAGCCAUGAGAGACCUACGCUCCCUAAGGAAGAAGCCUGAGUUUCUGGAAGCGCAGUCAGCGUCUCGAGUAUUUGCGCACUAAGAAAACCGUUUUCCCGCUGCGAUGACCGUGCUAAAGCAGCACAGGUGGCCAAGACAUUUACGGGCAGGUCUCCCAGCUACUCAAGUCCCUUAAGUGAGGCCUCAGUUCAGCCCCAGCACACAUCCAGGACUCCAUCUCGACUCCAGCAGAAGGUCUCUGCGCAGAGUCCAGAGAAGACUCUGUUUCAUACCCCCGCUUUUAGGGAAGAGCUGAGUCUCCCACGGUGUGCUCGCUCUAGCUAGUAAAACACUAGAUCGAGCGCUCUCCUUUCAGGAACCGCUCUUGCUUCAGUUCUCAGCGAUGGUCCACGCAGCAAACCGAAGCCUAUUAUCCGUCUCCACUUUUAGGGUCCAUCCACGAUGCUCACAAGCGCGAGGCGUGGGGAUCUUCUAUGGACACAGAAAAACAUUGACCUGGAGAGAUUAUAGCAUCACUGUUGAAGAUUCCUAGCUGAAGGCUGAUCAUCGUUUCUGCCGCAUCAAAGAGGGUUUUGUAGGAACGGAGUUUCCAACCGAAUAUUAAGUUUGACUGUUACGGAAAGAGUCCUCAUGAACAGGGAAAGAAGCUGUGCAACCCCCCAGAGCCUGGUGUUUGAGAGCAGAGUUGGUGAUCGGGGUCAGCCACAUCACGGCCUGGCAAAGCUGUCUGUACCUACAGGGUCCCACAGGUGUCACAAGUCAAAAAAAAUUAUCCUGUGCAUGUUCUCAGCCCCCCUCCUGUCCCUUCUUUUCCCUUCCCCUCAAGAGAAGCUUCUGUGAUGUGUUCCAUUUCCCUCCUCCUGCCUGCUCUCACGGAGGAAGAACUGGUGUUUGGCUGGUGAGAGGGUAAGUUCCCCUCCGUUAUAAAGGCGUGGAGUGAGAGGGAGAUUUUUAAAACUACUCAAGCAGCAUUUUGAGAAAGAUUUAAGGGUUUUGAAGAGAAGUUUCUGAAACAGCCACAGGCAGAGUGUGAGGACAAUCGAGAGCAGAGAAAUGAAUCUUGGAGCAGGUGGUGAAUGGGCCUCCUUUAAUGUUCUUAGAGAACUGCAAGAACUUAAGCUGCUAUUUGAUAACUACUGGCCUUUGCCUUUGAAUUGAUGCUCAGAGACCAUGUGGGCUCCCGGUUUAUGAAGUUGAUGGUGUGGCAUAGGGGUUAAAUGUCAAGAUCAGGUGUCAGACUCUUUGGCUUCAUUUCUGACCUUGGAUAAAUUACUUCACGUCUCUGGACUUUAGCUUCCUACUCUGUGAAGUGGAGCCAAUAGGACCUUUCCCUUGGAGUUGUUAAAGGAGAAAAUCCACAUAAGAUUCUUAGCACAAUGCCUGCCUUGUAGUAAGCACUCAAAGUAUCAUCCUUACUUUAAAGUAGUUGUUGGAACAGGGGAUGGGGGGCUAAGAUGCUCCUUUUAGGUAUCUGGUUUCCAUUUUUGGUGAGAGGAGUGGGUGGGGCAUAUAACAAGCUUUGGAUGCCUGCCCAGCAUCCUCAAGCCAUCAUCAUUAUCGACAUCUGCACCUUCGUUGUAUAACAUGGUGGUAAAGGUGGCAGAGGGGAUCCUUCCUCAAUCCUGAGGACCACAGGUGAGAAUAAAAGUGCUAAGAACCCCCACAAUCUAAGUUCAGAGAACCCCUCAGCUGUGAGGAUGGCCACGUCUCCUCUCCCCCACCUCCGGCAUUUUUGGAAGGUCUCAGUUCAGCAGAAACAGGAGCCCUGCUCCUCUCCCUUUCCCACCCAGGAAGGACCACUCUCCAAGUUCUUAGAUCCUGAGAUGUGCUGAAGCUGAGUCCCAAGCCAGGUCAGCCCUCAGGACCAGCAGAAGGCCCCCCAAAGUUGUCAUGGCAACAAGUAAGGAGAAUCUUUCUCUCUCCCUUCUUGUGGCCCCUCCCUCCCCGACCAGGGAAGAGGGAAGAGGUGGGAGAGGGGACAGGACCUACAGCCGUCUCCAUCCCUUGCCCGUGGAGCCACAAGCCCACCCCUCACCUGCACGAUCA